AUUGAACGCUGGCGGCAGGCCUAACACAUGCAAGUCGAACGGCAGCGGGGGAUAGCUUGCUAUCCUGCCGGCGAGUGGCGGACGGGUGAGUAAUGCAUGGGGAGCUGCCCAAUCGAGGGGGAUAACAACUGGAAACGGUUGCUAAUACCGAAUACGCCCUGCGGGGGAAAGGUGGGGACCUUCGGGCCUACCGCGAUUGGAUGCACCCAUGUGGGAUUAGCUAGUUGGUGAGGUAACGGCUCACCAAGGCGACGAUCUCUAGCUGGUCUGAGAGGAGGACCAGCCACACUGGAACUGGUACACGGUCCAGACUCCUACGGGAGGCAGCAGUGGGGAAUAUUGCACAAUGGGGGAAACCCUGAUGCAGCCAUGCCGCGUGUGUGAAGAAGGCCUUCGGGUUGUAAAGCACUUUCAGUGGGGAGGAAGGGCUGAUGACUAAUAUUCAUCAGCAUUGACGUUACCCACAGAAGAAGCACCGGCUAACUCCGUGCCAGCAGCCGCAGUAA
rnacentral:rRNA from 1 species